rnacentral:rRNA from 1 species
GGAUCACGCCAGAAAUCUUACCCGGAGAGACAGCAGAAUGAGGGUCAAGCUGAAGACUUUACCAGACAAGCUGAGAGGUGGUGCAUGGCCGUCGCCAGCUCGUGCCGUGAGAUGUCCUGUUAAGUCAGGUAACGAGCGAGAUCCUCGCCACUAGUUGCUAUCAUUAUUCUCAGGAAUAGUGGGGCGAAUUAGUGGGACUGCCGUUGUUAAAACGGAGGAAGGAGGGGGCUACGGCAGGUCAGUAUGCCCCGAAACUCUGGGGCCACACGCGGGCUGCAAUGGUAGCGACAAUGAGCUCCAAACUCGAAAGAGAGUGGCAAUCUCUAAACGCUACCACAGUUAUGACUGAGGGCUGUAACUCGCCCUCACGAAUAUGGAAUCCCUAGUAACCGCGUGUCAUUACCGCGCGGUGAAUACGUCCCUGCUCCUUGCACACACCGCCCGUCGUUUCAUCGAAGUUUGCUUUUAGCGAGGUGAUGUUUAAUUGACAUUAUCGAACUUGAGGUAAGUGACGAGGGAAAAGUCGUAACAAGGUGACCGUAGGGGAACCUGCGGUCGGAUCA